rnacentral:misc_RNA from 1 species
UUUCCGUAGGUGAACCUGCGGAAGGAUCAUUAUUGUAUAGCGCAGGUACGAGGGCUGUCGAUGGCCCGCAAGGUCGUGCACGCCCGAGUGCCCUCACACACAUCCAUCUCACCCCUAUGUGCACCACCGCGUGGGUCCCCCUUUGGCUUGUUCGGAGGGGGGCUUACGUUUUCACACAAACUUUGUAUGCAGUGUAGAAUGUAUUUUUUGUUUUUGCGAUCACGCAAUCAAUACAACUUUCAACAACGGAUCUCUUGGCUCUG